AUUGAACGCUGGCGGCAUGCCUUACACAUGCAAGUCGAACGGUAGAGUAGCAAUACUUGAGAGUGGCGAACGGGUGAGUAAUAUAUCGGAACGUGCCCAGUCGUGGGGGAUAACGUAGCGAAAGCUACGCUAAUACCGCAUACGAUCUAUGGAUGAAAGCGGGGGAGUCGCAAGACCUCGCGCGAUUGGAGCGGCCGAUAUCAGAUUAGGUAGUUGGUGAGGUAAAGGCUCACCAAGCCGACGAUCUGUAGCUGGUCUGAGAGGACGACCAGCCACACUGGGACUGAGACACGGCCCAGACUCCUACGGGAGGCAGCAGUGGGGGAAUUUUUGGACAAUGGGCGCAAGCCUGAUCCAGCAAUGCCGCGUGCAGGAUGAAGGCCUCGGUUGGUAACUAGG
rnacentral:rRNA from 1 species